rnacentral:lncRNA from 1 species
GGCAAGAGGUAGGUACAAGUGAUUGAAAAGUACUACAAAAUAAUGCAAAGAGAGCCUCAAGCUAGCCUUUAAAGUUUCAUCAUAAAGACUAACCUAAGCAGGAAAGCAGCCAUUCGCUCUAUCCUCAGGUCUAGGGAAACUAAGUGAAAAGCCAUUGUGAAUAUAAUAAUUCCUCUAAAACCAAUCCAGGUUAUCCUAAUCUGGGAUGCAUUCUUUGGUGCCUGGACCAUAAGAGAGUUUUGGUUUGACAUCCCUGAAGCCAUUAAAAGGCUAGCCCA